GACGAACGCUGGCGGCGUGCUUAACACAUGCAAGUCGAACGGAAAGGCCCUGCUUUUGUGGGGUGCUCGAGUGGCGAACGGGUGAGUAACACGUGAGUAACCUGCCCUUGACUUUGGGAUAACUUCAGGAAAUUGGGGCUAAUACCGGAUAGGAGCUCCUGCUGCAUGGUGGGGGUUGGAAAGUUUCGGCGGUUGGGGAUGGACUCGCGGCUUAUCAGCUUGUUGGUGGGGUAGUGGCUUACCAAGGCUUUGACGGGUAGCCGGCCUGAGAGGGUGACCGGCCACAUUGGGACUGAGAUACGGCCCAGACUCCGACGGGAGGCAGCAGUGGGGAAUAUUGCACAAGGGGCGGAAGCCUGAUGCAGCAACGCCGCGUGCGGGAUGACGGCCUUCGGGUUGUAAACCGCUUUCGCCUGUGACGAAGCGUGAGUGACGGUAAUGGGUAAAGAAGCACCGGCUAACUACGUG
rnacentral:rRNA from 1 species